GACGAACGCUGGCGGCGUGCCUAAUACAUGCAAGUUGAGCGCUGAAGGUUGGUACUUGUACCGACUGGAUGAGCAGCGAACGGGUGAGUAACGCGUGGGGAAUCUGCCUUUGAGCGGGGGACAACAUUUGGAAACGAAUGCUAAUACCGCAUAAAAACUUUAAACACAAGUUUUAAGUUUGAAAGAUGCAAUUGCAUCACUCAAAGAUGAUCCCGCGUUGUAUUAGCUAGUUGGUGAGGUAAAGGCUCACCAAGGCGAUGAUACAUAGCCGACCUGAGAGGGUGAUCGGCCACAAUGGGACUGAGACACGGCCCAAACUCCUACGGGAGGCAGCAGUAGGGAAACGUCGGCAAUGGACGAAAGUCUGACCGAACAACGCCGCGUGAGGGAAGAAGGGUUUCGGAUCGUAAAACUCGGUUGGUAGAGAAGAACGUUGGUGAGAGUGGAAAGCUCAUCAAGUGACGGUAACUACACAGAAAGGGACGGCUAACUACGUG
rnacentral:rRNA from 1 species